GACGAACGCUGGCGGCGUGCCUAAUACAUGCAAGUCGAACGCACUCUCGUUUAGAUUGAAGGAGCUUGCUCCUGAUUGAUAAACAUUUGAGUGAGUGGCGGACGGGUGAGUAACACGUGGGUAACCUGCCCUAAAGUGGGGGAUAACAUUUGGAAACAGAUGCUAAUACCGCAUAAAACCUAAACACCGCAUGGUGUAGGGUUGAAAGAUGGUUUCGGCUAUCACUUUAGGAUGGACCCGCGGUGCAUUAGUUAGUUGGUGAGGUAAAGGCUCACCAAGACCGUGAUGCAUAGCCGACCUGAGAGGGUAAUCGGCCACACUGGGACUGAGACACGGCCCAGACUCCUACGGGAGGCAG
rnacentral:rRNA from 1 species